CACUGAUUUUGCGUAACACACAUAGCCUCCGUUAGUUGCAUCAAAACUUAAACACUUAAAACACUUUGUUAUGGUCGGUAUAACUACUCAAUAAGUUCUUUCCAUGUGAUAAUGUCAUAUUGCAGUUGCCGCCUCACACCCCAAACAAAAACACAGCUUUAUUUUGAGCACAUUUGAAAAAUGUUUAAUGGAUCUUUGACAGCAGGGAAAGUGUAAAGUGAAAGCAGCAUGGAGGCUCCGCUCGUUCUCUCUGAGCGAGGUGAUGAAGUGGGUCACGCUGUUUGGCUUUGUUAACAGAUGGAGCCUUCUUGCUGUUGUUCACUCGUUUUUUUGUUUUUUUGUCACCCUCUGUUGGCUCCGUAAACGUGUGGAGAAACCCUUUUCUUACCGCUUUUCUUUUCUCCACCCGAAUGGCUUCUUGGGAUUAUUUCAUUAAAAAAAAAAACUGGAAAAGAAUGGAUAAUUACAAUGUAUGCCCAAAAAAAACAGAUCCUCAGCACGUUGAGAUUCUGAUUGUUUCCCAGGUGCUUUAUAAGAAAAUGAACAGCUUGGCUCCAUUAAAUGCAGAUUAAAUAUUAAAUGACUUCAAGGUGGAGGCUGUCAAAUUCAGACACACUCAACGCUGCUUUGACAGCGGAUGAGCUCCAACGCCUGAGGUGAUCUCCACACAAUUCCCUCAUCAAGUGUCUCCCUUUCACAUAAAAACAACAAUUGCAGAAAAGAAAGAGAGUGAUUUAAGCGAACAAAGAAAAAAAAAAACGAGAUGUUCAGAGGUGAGCAUUUUGUAGCGCUUCAGUAAUACCUCUGAUCAGCCAGGCUUUGAUUCUCUCCUUUAAAAAAAAAAAAAAAAAGAGUGAAAGAAAAAAAAAGAAAGACAAGCGUGCGGUACAGUAUAUACGUAUGUACACAAUGGGCCUGCGUGACCUUUCAAAACUUUCCUCCCACACUUGCGUUCCCUCAGCCCACGUCUACCUAAUUGAGGUCCCUUGUGCCCUGAUCUCCGGAGCUCCUUGUUCCGUCGGGGCUUUCAGUCGUGAUGCACUCUGCACAGACCAGAACACGGGCAUGAAAGGAGGAAAUACAUCUCGCCAGUACCAGUCUUCUCUUAAAGCUAUCUCCUUAGUUGGGUGUUUUUUUUUUCUUAUUCUGUUAGUGCUCUUCCACAGCAUGAUAAGAAAAGAGUGCAGUUUAUAGCACCCUGAAAGGUUCUUGAGCUCUUUGAUGGAACUACUUAG
ensembl:lncRNA